rnacentral:piRNA from 1 species
UAAAGACACGUCUAUCUAGCCC